UGUGCAUCGGCAGUCCUGGGAGGAGCGCAUGGCGGGGGCGCUGUGGAGGGAGGACCCAUUGUCUCAUUCUUGACCAUUUACCUAUUGGACGCCUGUGGGUCCUUAAUCUCUCUAUGCGCUGUUGGCCCUGGAAGUAAAAGGCUGAGAAGGAGAAGGUUGAAACCCCAAUACUUGGGACACCUGAUUCAAAGAGCCAACUCAUUGGAAAAGACCCUGAUGCUGGGAAAGAUUGAAGGCAAGAGAAGAAAGGGAUGACAGAGGACGAGAUGGUUGGAUGGCAUUACUGACUCGAUGGACACGAGUUUGAGCAAGCUCUGGGAGUUGGUGAUGAGCAGGGAAACAUGGUGUGCUGCAGUCCAUGGGGUCACAAAGAGUCGGACACAGCUGAGCGAUUGAGCAACUUUCCAAGAGGUGAGUUUGUGCAGCCAAAGGACAGUGGCUGUGAGGGAUGCUUCAGAGAGGACACGGAGAAGGGUGGGGAGACCUCCGUGGCGCCUCACUCUCUUUGUCUCUUUACUGUCCUGUCACAUCCUACUUGGCCACCAAGCCGG
ensembl:lncRNA